rnacentral:rRNA from 1 species
GUCUAUAGCCACACCACCCUGGAAAUGCCUGAUCUUAUCUGAUCUCCAAAGCUAAGCAGGACUGGGCCUGGUUAGUACCUGGAUGGGUGAAAAGUAACCAAUACCAAGAGGUGUGGGCC